UUUUAAAUUGCUGUGGUAUAUUGACUAUACAAAGGUAUUGUAAUAAGGCUUUAAUUGGGUGCUAAAAGAAUGGACUUUCAAAAAAAUUCUAUCUUAAAUUUAAAAAUUGAAGUUAUUUUUAUUUGUGAAGAAACAAUAAUUUAAAUUAGGGACAAGAAGACCCUAAGAAUUUUUAAAAUAUUAUGUAAAUAUUUUUUAUAUAAUAUUUAUUAAUUGGGGCGAUUAAAAAAUAUUAAAAACUUUUCUUUUUAUUAAAAUGAUCCAUUAUUAAUGAAUAAAUGAAUAAAAUACUCUAGGGAUAACAGCGUAAUAAUUUUGGAUAGUUCAUAUAGAAAAAAUAGUUUGCGACCUCGAUGUUGGAUUAGGAUUCUAAUUUAAUGAAGAAGUUAAGUUUAGAAGUUUGUUCAACUUUUAAAAUCCUACUUGAUCUG
rnacentral:rRNA from 1 species